rnacentral:rRNA from 1 species
GACGAACGCUGGCGGCGUGCCUAAUACAUGCAAGUAGAACGCACAGUUUAUACCGUAGCUUGCUCCACCAUAGACUGUGAGUUGCGAACGGGUGAGUAACUCGUAGGUAACCUGCCUGGUAGCGGGGGAUAACUAUUGGAAACGAUAGCUAAUACCGCAUAAUAUUAAUUAUUGCAUGCUAAUUAAUUGAAAGUUGCAAUUGCACCACUACCAGAUGGACCUUCGUUGUAUUAGCUAGCAGGUGAGGUAACGGCUCAACUAGGCGGUGAUACAUAGCCGAACGGAGAAGGUGAUGGGCUGACCUGGGAGUGUAACACGGCCCAGAACUCUGCGGGAGGCAGCAGUAGGGAAUAUUCGGCAAGAGAUGAAAGUAUGAGCGAGAAAGGCAGCGUGAGUGAAGAAGGUGUUCGGAUCGUAAAGCUCUGUUGUAAGAGUAGAACGGGUGUGAGAGUGGAAAGUUCACACUGUGACGGUAUCUUACCAGAAAGGGACGGCUAACUACGUG